UACGGGGGGGGCAAGCGUUGUUCGGAAUUACUGGGCGUAAAGGGCUCGUAGGCGGCCAACUAAGUCAGACGUGAAAUCCCUCGGCUUAACCGGGGAACUGCAUCUGAUACUGGAUGGCUUGAGAGUGGGAGAGGGAUGCGGAAUUCCAGGUGUAGCGGUGAAAUGCGUAGAUAUCUGGAGGAACACCGGUGGCGAAGGCGGCAUCCUGGACCAACACUGACGCUGAGGCGCGAAAGCCAGGGGAGCAAACGGG
rnacentral:rRNA from 1 species